rnacentral:lncRNA from 1 species
AAAGGGGAUAGCUGGGAAGGAAAAGAAUCCAGAGACUGCCACUAUCCUGCUUUUAUAAUAUCACUCCAUUGUUUUUAUUGAAAUUUUACUACCUUUGAUCAUAUUAACAUUAUUGGGUUUUUUUUUCUGUUUUAGAACUUUAUAUAAAGGAAUCUUACUGCUUAUAUUCUGUGAGUUUCUUCUUUUGCUCAACAUUAUGUAUUUGAGAUUCAUCUGCA